UUUCCGUAGGUGAACCUGCGGAAGGAUCAUUAGAAGUCUGCGGACGUCGGGCGUCAGCCCGGCGGCCCAACCUCUACCAUUCUACCCUGUGCAUCGUGACCCUUUUUUCGCGCAUUGCGAAUCGAAAGUCUCGAAUCUCUACAAAAGAAAGGCACAAAAUGAAGCAACGGAUCUCUUGGCUCUCGCAUCGAUGAAGAACGCAGC
rnacentral:misc_RNA from 1 species